GCGGGUAUAGCAUAGUGGUAAUGCUCCAGCUUCCCAAGCUGGUAAGGGGAGUUCGAUUCUCCCUACCCGCU
rnacentral:tRNA from 1 species